rnacentral:rRNA from 1 species
GCUCAUGACGAACGCUGGCGGCAUGCCUAACACAUGCAAGUCGAACGAGAAAGGAACUUCGGUUCUGAUUAAAGUGGCGCACGGGUGAGUAACGCGUAGACAAUCUGCCCUUCAGUCUGGGACAACUUUUCGAAAGGAGAGCUAAUACCGGAUAACAAUGUUUAACCUAAGUUAAGUAUUUGAAAGCUUUAUGUGCUGAAGGAGGGGUCUGCGUCCCAUUAGCUAGUUGGUAAGGUAAAGGCUUACCAAGGCGACGAUGGGUAGCGGGUUUGAGAGGACGAUCCGCCACACUGGAACUGAGACACGGUCCAGACUCCUACGGGAGGCAGCAGUGGGGAAUAUUGCACAAUGGAGGCAACUCUGAUGCAGCAAUGUCGCGUGAGUGAAGAAGGCCCUUGGGUCGUAAAGCUCUUUUAUGGGGGAAGAUGAUGACGGUACCCCAAGAAUAAGCACCGGCUAACUAUGUGCCAGCAGCCGCGGUAAUACAUAGGGUGCGAGCGUUGUUCGGAAUUACUGGGCGUAAAGGGCGCGCAGGCGGAAUAGUAAGUCGGAGGUGAAAGCCCGGGGCUCAACCCCGGAGGGUCUUUCGAAACUGCUAAUCUAGAGAGGGUCAGGGGCCGGCAGAAUUCCUGGUGUAGAGGUGAAAUUCGUAGAUAUCAGGAGGAAUACCGGUGGCGAAGGCGGCCGGCUGGGGCCACUCUGACGCUGAGGCGCGAAAGCGUGGGGAGCAAACAGGAUUAGAUACCCUGGUAGUCCACGCCGUAAACGAUGAGCACUGGACGUCCGGAGGGUUCGACCCUUCUGGGUGUCUCAGCUAACGCAUUAAGUGCUCCGCCUGGGGAGUACGGUCGCAAGACUAAAACU